CUGAAAGUGGAGUUUGGGACGCAAAGACCCUAAGUCGCGGGUCUAAUCACAGCGGGCGGCUGGCCUUUGCCCCGAAGGCGGUGAGAGGUGUGGGCUUUAGGGCGCCUUCGCUGUUAGCCCCGCUCGUGCAGACUUCGGGGCGGCGCCCCUCACGAAAGUGACCCGCUGCAAGCGUGCGGCCCCGGUGAGAUGGCCGUUAUGUUGCUGGAAAUUUUAAGAAAAAUCAUAGUUGAGGUUCCUUCCAAAGCUGCAAGGCUGUGAAUAUCCUCCUACUUCUGAUUUUCCUGACCUCUCGGUUGGCUGAGGCGCUCAAAAGGUUUAACUUGGGUUUUCAUGGGAUCACUAUCCUGGUAGCUCCAAAGGAGGCAGAGGGAAAGACGUGAACUACGGCUGAGCAGCAGUCUAGAUGCGAUGCAGGUCUGAAUUAGGGUCGUAGGAAAAGGACCUUCCUAAGCUUUCGAGCAGGGCUUUAGGUUUUUUGUUUGUUCGUUUGUUUUGUUUUUGCCCUCGGGCUACUUGGAAAACGUGGAUGAUAGGAUCACUCCGGCGCCCUGGAAAGGAGGCAAGCGUGCGCUCUGCGCAUGCUCAGUGGCCCGGCCCGUCUGUUUGGUCCUCCGGCUGCGCGCGGUCAACGUCGCACACCGAAAGGUGGGCUUGUGUCCCAGCCGGGUCAUGGCUGUCCCGGGGACUUCAGGUAGUUCCAUUCUGAAAGAUGUAGUGGCAUAUGUUGACGUGUGGUCAUCCAACGGAACAGAAAAUUAUUCAAAGACUUUUACAAACCAACUUGUAGAUAUGGGGGCAAAGGUUUCAAAAACUUUUAAUAAACAAGUGACCCACGUUGUGUUCAAAGAUGGAUACCAGCACACUUGGGACAAAGCACGAAAGAAGGGGAUAAAGCUUGUUUCUGUGCUCUGGGUUGAAAAAUGCAGGACAGCUGGAGUACACAUUGAUGAAUCAUUAUUCCCUGCAGCUAACACUAAUGAACAGCUACCAAGCCUAAUUAAAAAAAAACGUAAGUGUAUGCAGCCCAAAGAUUUUAUUCCCAAAACACCAGAAAAUGAUAAAAGACUUCAAAAGAAAUUUGAGAAAAUGACUAAAGAGCUACAAAGGCAAAAAACAACUCUAGAUAGUGAUGUACCUGCUCUCUUGUUUGCACCUAAUGGAUCGUUGCUGUAUAGCCCCACAGUUAAAACGAACAGUUACCAUCACAGUGCAAUGGAGAAGAGAUUACAGGAGAUGAGAGAGAAGAGGGAAAACCUGUCCCCUACAUCUUCCCAAGUGAUUGAGAAUUCUCAGGAUAGUCCGGUUAACUCUCUGUGUCUGUCACCUUUGAACGUUUCACAUGACACUUCCUGUUCAGAUGAAUCCUUUGCUGGUGUUCUACACUCAUCUUUUGAUAUUUGUGGAAACUCAAGACGUAGAAAUCAGGAAGUGAAAUUGGGAGGACUCAUUAAUGACAUUGGAGGUGGUAUUUGUAUGUCCUCACCUGUAUCAAAAACAAGUAGUACUCACUCAUCAGCAUCUUGCAGCCACCUCAACAAAUUAACACCUCAAAGACCCAUGAAUAAGCUUUCAGAGGAAAAACUAAAUUGGCAAGGAGAUAUUGUGGGUGAAACAGUCACCCCUGACAAGAAGCAGUCUGAAGGAAUGUCUGAGGAGAUGCUUGAUGAGAAAUGCAGUUUGUCUCCUGUUUUGUCUACAACAGAAGGCCACUCUUUGGUACAUUCAAGACCCAGCAGUUCCUUCGCAAAGAGAAGAAGAACAUCAGGGUACUUACAUUCACCUCCAAAAGAAAAAUUAAAGAAAAAAAAGUACAGCACAAAGUCUUCCUUGCCCAAAUGGCAGCUGUUUAAGUCGGAAAACAGGCCACAGCUCAUGACCAAAUCUGUUACAGAGACUCCUGAUUGUGGGGAGUCCUCAUACGAUGAUUAUUUUUCACCUGAUAAUCUUAAGGAAAGGAAUUCCAGGAGUCUUCUUUCUGACUUUCAGUUGUCAUCAAACCUUGUUCAGUUCAACAGCAGAAGUCUCUCUAAGAAUGAGAGAGGUAGCAUAUUAAAAAUGUCUGAUUUUUCCUUUAUGGGUAAAAAAUCCAUACCAGUUGACAUUACCGAUUUAACAGCAAAAACCAGCUCCAGUCUUCAGACACCUACAAAUGAUGAAGGAAAUACAACUCUGAGUUUCAUGACUUCUAAGGAAGCAUGUACAGCUGAAGAAACUCCCAGGGAUUGUAUACAGGCUGACCCUCAGAAAAGAGAAGGCCCAUCCCCAGAAGAAUAUAACUUUUCUUAUAUCUUUGAUAAACUUGUUCAUCCAAAAGAAAGUCUAGAGCAAGGACACCAUGGUAAUUUAACUCCUUUGAAAGGAAACACUAAUAAAAUGAAAAAAUUGAUUGAGAUUAAAAGCAUACAGAAAGAAGAAGGUACCACUUCUAAAAUGUUGAACUCUUCUGAAAGUGAAACACAAAAUAAUUAUAAGCUACAUGUUGUAGAUGAUUGUAAAGUGGAAAAAUCUACAGAAGAAAUGAAAAACUCAUCCAGAGGAUAUAGUGAAAGUGUUGAAAAUGGACAGACAAGCCGUGAUGUUUUACCUGGCUCAUAUGAAGGCUUUAAGGAACUCCUCAAACCCCAUGAAGAACCAAACAAAAGAAGUGAAGUCAAAAAGCCAACAAGAACAUUAGUCAUGACAAGCAUGCCAUCUGAAAAGCAGAAUGUUGUCAUUCAAGUAGUGAAUAAAUUGAAAGGCUUUUCAUUUUCACGGGAAGUGUGUGAAACUACCACCCACGUGGUCACAGGGAAGCCUCUUCGAACUCUGAAUGUGCUGCUGGGAAUUGCACGUGGCUGCUGGAUUCUUUCUUAUGAAUGGGUAUAACUGAUAGCAACAUGAUUGCUUGUGAAAUAUAUAGUCUGAUUCAUUGUUACAAUCCAAGAUGAGGUCCACUUCUAAAGACACGUUGAUAAGUAAAGCCGAAUGAACUGAGGCUUGCAUACCAUGCUACCAUAAGCAGUGAAUCGAUAAAAUGUGUUUUAUUGGCAUGAGCACAGAGUCCAGUGAUGGAAUCAUAAUGAAACACAUACGUAGUCAGUGAGAUCCAGUGCCUCUCAGUUUACGUCUAAGAAAGCUACGUCCGAAGAACCAGAUCUAGAAUGAAGGUUUGUUUUGUUUUCACUUGUAUUCUAGUACAUUACAGUAUCCUCCUGAGACUAUACAAAAGUAAUUAUUUUGAAAAUCAUUAUCUUUUUUCUCCUUAAAUUCUCAGAUUAAUUUCUUAACACAGUGUAAAAAUUGUUUUAGACAGAAAUAUCCUUGGACCACAUUUGUCCGUAGAACUUCUGAGCUGAUUUUGUAAGUUCUCUCUAGCAAGCAUUCAUCGGCUGCAACCGUGGGCUAGCCACUGAUACACCAAGCCAAUGAAGAUCUCAGGUUUGGGUCUUUGAACUUCCAUUUGCUUAAUUCCAAACUUUGUUUUAUUCUGCCGCAGUUUAUACCUUGAAAAAGUAUUUUAUACUUUACAAAGCAUUUUCACAUCCACUGUCUCAUUAGAUCCUUACAGAAAAUUUUUGCUGUAAAUAAGGACCCUGUGAGAUAAUAAACAUUAUGUUUAGUAAUGGAGAUGUUACGCAGAAAUAGCUUUUCUGACUUGAAUGUGUGCCUUUGAAGUAAUCUUCUUAAAGGCACUGUUCUAAGACAAUGACUAUGAAUUAUUGUUUUGAUAUAUACCUAAUUUAUAAAUUUUCAUUAUUAAAAUAAUGAAGUAUUUUUCUUUGAUAGACAUUUUAACUUGUAAUAGUUCAUUUGCUCCUUUUCACUGGAGGUAGUUACUGAAAAACACCCAAGCUAUUUCUCUACAGAACCUCGUACACGCUGCAAUAGAACCCUCGGAAUCACAGGAAACAGUUGGUUUUUUUGGAGUCUUCCACCUUCUCUUUUCCAUCUUUUUGUACAUCCUGGCAAGACCCCAGGUUGUGCUUUCUCCAUAUUGGAUGCGCUGUGCACUCCCAAUUCCAUAAUCUUAUGAUUGAGGACAAAUAUGAAAAAGUAAUUCAUGUGGAAAAUUGAAGGCUGUAGUGUUGCCCAUCAUGAGUUAUUUGCAUUUAAAAAGAUGCGUGAAGCGGACUGUGAUUGUUA